UAUUAAAGGCAACGCCUGCCCAGUGAACAGUUAAACGGCCGCGGUACCCUAACCGUGCAAAGGUAGCGUAAUCACUUGUCUAUUAAUUGUAGACCCGUAUGAAAGGCAAAAUGAGGGUCUGACUGUCUCUUUUAGUAAAUCAAUUAAACUGAUCUCCUAGUCCAAAAGCCAGGAUACCAACAUAAGACCAGAAGACCCUGUGAAGCUUUAACUAAACUAUUAAACCAUAUAAUAGCUCCUUUAGGUUGGGGCGACCUUGGAAAAAAAAAGAACUUCCAAACAACUAUUUAUAACAAUAUUAUAUCAGGCUAACAAGCCAAUAACGACCCAGCAAAGCUGAUAACUGAACCAAGUUACUCCAGGGAUAACAGCGCUAUCUUCUUCAAGAGCCCAUAUCAAAAAGAAGGUUUACGACCUCGAUGUUGGAUCAGGACAUCCUAAUGGUGCAGCCGCUAUUAAGGGUUCGUUCGUUCAACGAUUAAC
rnacentral:rRNA from 1 species